rnacentral:rRNA from 1 species
AUUGAACGCUGGCGGCAUGCUUUACACAUGCAAGUCGAACGGUAACAGGCCUUCGGGUGCUGACGAGUGGCGAACGGGUGCGUAAUGCAUCGGAACGUGCCCAGAGGUGGGGGAUAACGCAGCGAAAGCUGUGCUAAUACCGCAUGUGAUCUGAGGAUGAAAGCGGGGGACCAGGCAGCAAUGUUUGGCCUCGCGCCUUUGGAGCGGCCGAUGUCAGAUUAGGUAGUUGGUGGGGUAAAGGCCUACCAAGCCGACGAUCUGUAGCUGGUCUGAGAGGACGACCAGCCACACUGGGACUGAGACACGGCCCAGACUCCUACGGGAGGCAGCAGUGGGGAAUUUUGGACAAUGGGCGCAAGCCUGAUCCAGCAAUGCCGCGUGCGGGAAGAAGGCCUUCGGGUUGUAAACCGCUUUUGUACGGAAAGAAAAGGCUCUGGCUAAUACCUGGGGCUGAUGACGGUACCGUAAGAAUAAGCACCGGCUAACUACGUG